AGGUAAUUAGUUUAAUAAAAAUAUUUGAUUUCGGCUCAAAAGCUCAUGGUUAAAGUCCACAAUUACCUA
rnacentral:tRNA from 1 species